AAUAUUGCACAAUGGGCGCAAGCCUGAUGCAGCCAUGCCGCGUGUAUGAAGAAGGCCUUCGGGUUGUAAAGUACUUUCAGCAGUGAGGAAGUGGGUAUGUUAAUAGCAUAUUCAUUUGACGUUAGCUGCAGAAGAAGCACCGGCUAACUCCGUGCCAGCAGCCGCGGUAAUACGGAGGGUGCGAGCGUUAAUCGGAAUUACUGGGCGUAAAGCGCAUGCAGGUGGUUUGUUAAGUCAGAUGUGAAAGCCCGGGGCUCAACCUCGGAAUUGCAUUUGAAACUGGCAAACUAGAGUACUGUAGAGGGGGUAGAAUUUCAGGUGUAGCGGUGAAAUGCGUAGAGAUCUGAAGGAAUACCGGUGGCGAAGGCGGCCCCCUGGACAGAUACUGACACUCAGAUGCGAAAGCGUGGGGAGCAAACAGGAUUAGAUACCCUUGGUAG
rnacentral:rRNA from 1 species